GACGAACGCUGGCGGCGUGCUUAACACAUGCAAGUCGAACGGAAAGGCCCUGCUUGCAGGGUACUCGAGUGGCGAACGGUUGAGUAACACGUUGGUGAUCUGCCCUGCACUUCGGGAUAAGCCUGGGUAACUGGGUCUAAUACCGGACCGGAGCCUUAUUUAGUGUGAUGGUUGGAAAGUUUUUUCGGUUUGGGAUUAGCUCGCGGCCUAUCAGCUUGUUGGUGGGGUAAUGGCCUACCAAGGCGGCGACGGGUAGCCGGCCUGGGAGGGUGGACGGCCACAUUGGGACUGGGAUACAGCCCAGACUCCUACGGGAGGCAGAGGUGGCGAUGAUGGAAAAAUGGGCGCAAGCGUGAUGCAGAGACGCCGCGUGGGGGAUGACGACCUUCGGCUUGUGGUCGUCUUGCGCUAGUGACGAAGCUUUUUGUGACGGUACCUAGAGAAGAAGCACCGGCUAACUACGUG
rnacentral:rRNA from 1 species